AGUGAAAGCUGGCGGUAGGCCUAACACAUGCAAGUCGAACGGCAGCACAGGAGAGCUUGCUCUCUGGGUGGCGAGUGGCGGACGGGUGAGGAAUACAUCGGAAUCUACUCUGUCGUGGGGGAUAACGUAGGGAAACUUACGCUAAUACCGCAUACGACCUACGGGUGAAAGCAGGGGACCUUCGGGCCUUGCGCGAUUGAAUGAGCCGAUGGCGGGUUAGCUAGUUGGCGGGGUAAAGGCCCGCCAAGGCGACGAUCCGUAGCUGGUCUGAGAGGAUGAUCAGCAACACUCGAACUGGGACACGGUCCAGACUCCUACGGGAGGCAGCAGUGGGGAAUAUUGGACAAUGGGCGCAAGCCUGAUCCAGCCAUACCGCGUGGGUGAAGAAGGCCUUCGGGUUGUAAAGCCCUUUUGUUGGGAAAGAAAUCCAGCUGGCUAAUACCCGGUUGGGAUGACGGUACCCAAAGAAUAAGCACCGGCUAACUUCGUGCCAGCCGCCGCCGUAA
rnacentral:rRNA from 1 species